rnacentral:rRNA from 1 species
AAUAUGGGACAAUGGGGGCAACCCUGAUCCAGCCAUGCCGCGUGUUUUAAGAAUGUCNNNGGAUUNUAAAGCACUUUACUUUGNGAGNAAGGUCUUUAGGCUAAUACCCGCAAGUUUUGACGAUACCAACAGAAUUAGCACCGGCUAACUCUGUGCCAGCAGCCUCGGUAAUACAGAGGGUGCAAGCGUUAAUCGGAAUUACUGGGCGUAAAGCGGGCGUAGGUGGUUCAGUAAGAUGGGUGGGAAAUCCCCGGGCUUAACCUGGGAACUGCUUUCAUAACUGCUGAGCUAGAGUACGGUAGAGGGUAGUGGAAUUUCCUGUGUAGCGGUGAAAUGCGUAGGUAUAGGAAGGAACACCAGUGGCGAAGGCGACUACCUGGACUGAUACUGACACUGAGGUGCGAAAGCGUGGGGAGCAAAC